rnacentral:antisense_RNA from 1 species
CUCUUUGGGCGGGCGAUUGCGGGGAUACCUUCGGGUAUGCCGGUCCCCUGGGACGCCGGUUCGCCAACCCUGCUUUCUGCUCGCCCACCCCA